ensembl:lncRNA
UUGUCCUUCCCUCAGCCCCACUCUCGCGUCCUUAUCGUCAAGUCAUUGGCUGUGUUUCAAAACCUAGCGACCGUCUGCGCUCUCGGCGUUUUCAAAAGUUCCAUCAUCGCUUCUACGGAUCAGUGUUUUGGGUUCCUCGUCAUCGGUGGCGUUUCAGUCUACACUUUCUCAAACAGGGGGUUUUAAGCUACAUUGCGCUCUUUUGAGAAGGUCUUGAUGCAAUGAACAUGCACUGAGCCAGGCUUUUCAACCAGGGGUCCGUGCACUGUACAAGCGCUUUCUCAGAUGAAAGUCUGCGAGGAACGAGUGCAGACAGGUUGUUUCCCGCGAGUGCCGUCAGAGGAAUCUGUUACAGCGAUCGUCCCGAAACAUCACAAAAACAUGCUCUCGCUGCAUCAGAAUCAAUCAAUCGAGGGCCAGAUUCCCCUCGCGUUCAGGUCAACAAACCAGGAAGAAAACCAGGUCUCUCUGUGAGUCCGGUCUCCCCGUUUGAGAUGCAAAAACUAGGGCAAAUUCUCCACAAAAUAAAACGAGCUAAGCAAAUUAAGAGGCAACCGGGGCCAGAUGAGGCUGUUGUUCUUGGCUCAGGGAUUGUGUUUAGAGACUCUCCUGCUCUACAUUCACUGAAAGCUAGUCACAUGAUUACCUCGAGUCACCCGGAUCCUGCCCGUAAUACAGCGCUUAAUUGAGUAAUGCUUGUAUGCCGUUACACGAAAGAGACUCGGCUAUCAAACUAAUGCUGGGGCUCCUGUGACAGCGGCUCUAGUGAGCUGCCUAUGUAGGGAUCAUUCCUGCGUCCCGUUCCAGAAAAAAGACAAUUGUGAAUAUGUUCUAUUAAAGAAUCUUAAAGAAAGUUGUAAAUAAAUCAAAGACUGCCAGAGUACUUUUCA